AACGAACGCUGGCGGCAUGCCUAACACAUGCAAGUCGAACGAGACCUUCGGGUCUAGUGGCGCACGGGUGCGUAACGCGUGGGAACCUGCCCUUAGGUUCGGAAUAACUCCCCGAAAGGGGUGCUAAUACCGGAUAAUGUCUUCGGACCAAAGAUUUAUCGCCUUUGGAUGGGCCCGCGUUGGAUUAGCUAGUUGGUAGGGUAAAAGCCUACCAAGGCGACGAUCCAUAGCUGGUCUGAGAGGAUGAUCAGCCACACUGGGACUGAGACACGGCCCAGGCUCCUACGGGAGGCAGCAGUGGGGAAUAUUGGACAAUGGGCGAAAGCCUGAUCCAGCAAUGCCGCGUGAGUGAUGAAGGCCUUAGGGUUGUAAAGCUCUUUUACCCGGGAUGAUAAUGACAGUUCCGGGAGAAUAAGCUCCGGCUAACUCCGUG
rnacentral:rRNA from 1 species